GUCGCAAUAUUCAGCUUCCCCCUCUCGCCUUCAGACAGUUGGAACAAGCUGACUUGAAAAGUGAAUCAGAGAACAUUCAACGACCAACCAGCCUCCCCCUGAAGAUUCUGCCGCUGAUUGCUAUCACUUCUGCAGAAUCCAGCGGAGAGAAUGUCUCUCCUCCAUCUGCGAAGUGCUGCAUUUUAGGUUUGGUCUGACAAAUUGAUGCAACAGCUCAGUUUUGAUGUGGACAAUGGCACAUCUGCGGGACGGAGUCCCUUGGAUCCCAUGACCAGCCCAGGAUCUGGGCUAAUUCUCCAAGCAAAUUUUGUCCACAGUCAACGCCGGGAGUCCUUCCUGUAUCGAUCCGACAGCGAUUAUGACCUCUCUCCAAAGUCUAUGUCCCGGAACUCCUCCAUUGCCAGUGAUAUGUAAGUACAAGGGCAGGCAAAGAGAGAGAAAACCAAGUAAAUUUAUAUCUAGAGCUGAUGACGUAAUAAAACUGAUCACUUUUGUUCAACUGUAUCACUCUUCUCCAAUAUAGAAGAAUAUGAAUAAAAUUAUACAAGCUAGAAAUGAAUGGUAGAUUUAACUUGAGUGCACUGUCACUCUUGAUUAACACACACACACACACACACACACACGCAUUAUUUAUUUUCCCAGAAAAUACUUUAUAGGAAAACUGAGAAUUAAAUUUUUAAUGGAAACUAACACUUAAAUCAUUAGCUUAUAUUUAUGUAGA
rnacentral:sRNA from 1 species